CCUACGGGGGGCAGCAGUGAGGAAUAUUGGUCAAUGGACGAGAGUCUGAACCAGCCAAGUAGCGUGAAGGAUGACUGCCCUAUGGGUUGUAAACUUCUUUUAUAUGGGAAUAAAACGUUCCACGUGUGGGAUUUUGUAUGUACCAUAUGAAUAAGGAUCGGCUAACUCCGUGCCAGCAGCCGCGGUAAUACGGAGGAUCCGAGCGUUAUCCGGAUUUAUUGGGUUUAAAGGGAGCGUAGGUUGAUUGUUAAGUCAGUUGUGAAAGUUUGCGGCUCAACCGUAAAAUUGCAGUUGAAACUGGCAGUCUUGAGUACAGUAGAGGUGGGCGGAAUUCGUGGUGUAGCGGUGAAAUGCUUAGAUAUCACGAAGAACUCCGAUUGCGAAGGCAGUUCACUGGACUGCAACUGACACUGAGGCUCGAAAGUGUGGGUAUCAAACAGGAUUAGAUACCCUGGUAGUC
rnacentral:rRNA from 1 species